ensembl:lncRNA
GCAUGCUGAAGAACAAGAAGUUGUUGUUUGCUCCCUUCUGGACUUGCUCUGCACUCUACCUGCUUGCUUCCUAAGGCUGGCCUUCUGCUACUGCUCUCCCCCCAAGGUGUCUGCCAUCAGAUCCCUCACUAAGGAAGGUCUGCAUGCUGACGGACUCUCCAGGGCCUGCUUCUUCCUCCCGGAGUUCUUCCUGAACCUACCUGAUAACUGCACAUUCUUGCUGCCCAAGACUGGCCACGCUACUGCUGCUCUUCCCAUGCUCUUUUGCCCUGGACCGUCGGAACGUCGUGCAACGGGACCGUUGCUGGAUCCUGGUGAAACUACAGAUACAAAGAGCACAAUAGAACUCUGACAAAGCAAAUUCUCAGUUCCCUGUUUCCUGUUUCUGGAGAUGUGGGUUCGCAAAUCUCUCCACUGCACUACUCACGGAACCGGGCCAAACCAGCCCAUAAACUGCUGACAAGUUAUUUCAAGGACAGUUUUUCAAAAAAUAGGCUUUAUGUUAGAUAUAUGUUACAUUUUAAUGCAGUUUGGAGGCAAAAUAUUACUGCUAUUCUGGACUAGAAAUCUUAAAAAAUGAGUUUAAAGAUGAUUGUAGAACACAAGAUGGUAUUGUCAAAGAUGGAUGGUGACAGAGAAAAGCAAGUUGUCAGCUCCAUCUUCCUAAAAUAACAAGGAGAUGCUCUGUAGAAGUCAAUAAUAAACCACGUCUUCUGGGACCUUUUCUCCCUCAGAGGACCAUCUCUAGGACAUUGAUGAGACUCCAAAGUGUAAAAUACUUAUCACCAGUGCUGAGCCUGGAUGGCAAACAUAAGAAAACUGGUACCAUGAAUUGUACAAAACUCUUUUAAAAAAAUUAAACUUGAGAAAAUAUUUUCCAAAACUGUUUACACUUUUCAAAGAGAUUUCAACAUUACUGAAAUAAAAAGAAAUUUAUCAC